CCCUUAGAUGUUCUGGGCCGCACACGCGCUACACUGAAGGAGGCAGCGUGUACUCCUGGAUCGAAAGAUUUGGGUAACCCGCGAAUCUCCUUCGUGCUAGGGAUUGAGGUUUGCAAUUAUCCUUCAUGAACGAGGAAUUCCCAGUAAGUGCAAGUCAUAAGCUUGCGCUGACUACGUCCCUGCCCUUUGUACACACCGCCCGUCGCUACUACCGAUUGAAUGAUUUAGUGAGGACUUCGGACUGGGACCGAUGCGGCUUUCGGGCUGCGUCGGUAUUCUGGAAAGAUGUCCAAACGGUAUCAUUUAGAGGAAGUAAAANUCGUANCA
rnacentral:rRNA from 1 species